AGCGAACGCUGGCGGCAUGCCUAACACAUGCAAGUCGCACGGGGGGGCUUCGGCCUCCCAGUGGCGGACGGGUGAGGAACGCGUAGGGACCUGUCGAGGGGUGGGGGAUAACCGCGGGAAACUGCGGCUAAUACCGCAUGACGCCGCGGCGUGACAGCCGGGGCCAAAGGCGAAAGCCGCCCGCCGAGGGGCCUGCGUCCGAUUAGCUGGUUGGCGGGGUAGCGGCCCACCAAGGCGUCGAUCGGUAGCUGGUCUGAGAGGGUGAUCAGCCACACCGGGACUGAGACACGGCCCGGACUCCUACGGGAGGCAGCAGUGGGGAAUAUUGGACAAUGGGCGCAAGCCUGAGCCAGCAAUGCCGCGUGGGUGAAGAAGGUCUUCGGAUUGUAAAGCCCUUUCGGCGGGGACGAUGGUGACGGUACCCGCAGAAGAAGCCCCGGCUAACUUCGUG
rnacentral:rRNA from 1 species